rnacentral:tRNA from 1 species
GCCGGCGUAGCUCAGGGGUAGAGCAGGGGUUUUGUAAACCUCAGGUCGGGGGUUCAAAUCCCUCCGCCGGCU